AGUAGUUGAUUAUGGCUCAGGACGAACGCUGGCGGCACGCUUAACACAUGCAAGUCGAACGGAGAAUUUUGGUUUACUGAGAAUUCUUAGUGGCGGACGGGUGAGUAACACGUGAGCAACCUACCUCAGAGAGAGGGAUAGCUUCUGGAAACGGAUGGUAAUACCUCAUAACAUAACUGAAAGGCAUCUUUUGGUUAUCAAAGAUUUAUCACUCUGAGAUGGGCUCGCGUCUGAUUAGAUAGUUGGUGAGGUAACGGCUCACCAAGUCGACGAUCAGUAGCCGGACUGAGAGGUUGAACGGCCACAUUGGGACUGAGACACGGCCCAGACUCCUACGGGAGGCAGCAGUGGGGAAUAUUGCACAAUGGGGGAAACCCUGAAUGCAGCGAUGCCGCGUGGAGGAAGAAGGUUUUCGGAUUGUAAACUCCUGUCUUAAAGGACGAUAAUGACGGUACUUUAGGAGGAAGCUCCGGCUAACUACGUGCCAGCAGCGGC
rnacentral:rRNA from 1 species